AGAGUUUGAUCCUGGCUCAGGAUGAACGCUAGCUAUAGGCUUAACACAUGCAAGUCGAGGGGAAACGGCAUUAUGUGCUUGCACAUUUUGGACGUCGACCGGCGCACGGGUGAGUAUCGCGUAUCCAACCUUCCCUCCACUCGGGGAUACCCCGUUGAAAGACGGCCUAAUACCCGAUGUUGUCCACAUAUGGCAUCUGACGUGGACCAAAGAUUCAUCGGUGGAGGAUGGGGAUGCGUCUGAUUAGCUUGUUGGUGCGGGUAACGGCCCACCAAGGCAACGAUCAGUAGGGGUUCUGAGAGGAAGGUCCCCCACAUUGGAACUGAGACACGGUCCAAACUCCUACGGGAGGCAGCAGUGAGGAAUAUUGGUCAAUGGACGGAAGUCUGAACCAGCCAAGUAGCGUGCAGGAUUGACGGCCCUAUGGGUUGUAAACUGCUUUUGUUGGGGAGUAAAGUGAGGCACGCGUGCCUUUUUGCAUUUACCCUUCGAAUAAGGACCGGCUAAUUCCGUGCCAGCAGCCGCGGUAAUACGGAAGGUCCAGGCGUUAUCCGGAUUUAUUGGGUUUAAAGGGAGUGUAGGCGGUCUGUUAAGCGUGUUGUGAAAUUUAGGUGCUCAACAUCUACCUUGCAGCGCGAACUGGCGGACUUGAGUGCACGCAACGUAUGCGGAAUUCAUGGUGUAGCGGUGAAAUGCUUAGAUAUCAUGACGAACUCCGAUUGCGAAGGCAGCGUACGGGAGUGUUACUGACGCUUAAGCUCGAAGGUGCGGGUAUCGAACAGGAUUAGAUACCCUGGUAGUCCGCACGGUAAACGAUGGAUGCCCGCUGUUAGCGCCUGGCGUUAGCGGCUAAGCGAAAGCAUUAAGCAUCCCACCUGGGGAGUACGCCGGCAACGGUGAAACUCAAAGGAAUUGACGGGGGCCCG
rnacentral:rRNA from 1 species